rnacentral:rRNA from 1 species
UGGAGAGGAUGCUUCGGCCUUGGUGCCGCCCCAGGUUCCCUGGAAAGGGACGUCGUAGAGGGUGAGAACCCCGUACUUGGGCGGAUGCCUCGGCCUUGUGAAGCUCCCUCGGCGAGUCGAGUUGCUUGGGAAUGCAGCUCAAAUUGGGAGGUAAAUUCCUUCUAAAGCUAAAUACCGGCCGGAGACCGAUAGCGCACAAGUAGAGUGAUCGAAAGAUGAAAAGCACUUUGGAAAGAGAGUGAAAAAGCACGUGAAAUUGUUGAAAGGGAAGCGCUUGCAGCCAGACGUGGCCGCCGUCGCUCGGUGGGGCCCCGCGCCCCGCCUACGCUUCGGCGGGCAGGCCAGCGUCAGCUCGGGCGGCCGUAGAAGCGCGUGGGAACGUAGCACCCUCCGGGGUGUGUUAUAGCCCACGCCGGAUGCGGCCCGCCUGGGCUGAGGUCCCGCGCUUUGCGAGGACGCUGGCGUAAUGGUGGUAAGCGGCCCGUCUUGAAACACGGACCAAGGAGUCUUACAUCCGCGCGAGUGUUCGGGCUUUGAACCCCGGGCGCGCAAUGAAAGUGAAUGGAGGUGGGAACCCUUCGGGGUGCACCAUCGACCGAUCCAGAUGUCCUCGGACGGAUUUGAGUAUGAGCGCGGAUGCGGGGACCCGAAAGAUGGUGAACUAUGCCUAAGCAGGGCGAAGCCAGAGGAAACUCUGGUGGAGGCUCGCAGCGGUUCUGACGUGCAAAUCGAUCGUCAAAUUUGGGUAUAGGGCGAAAGACCAAUC